rnacentral:sRNA from 1 species
GGCCGGCCCGCGUCAACCGGACAUGGUGGUAUAGGGAACGAAGCGGUUUUUCCGGUUUCCCGCUUCGGCCAACGCAGUGGCAGCCGAGCCCUUGUCCCACCCGUGCC